CAUGCAAGUCGAGCGGGGGAAGGUAGCUUGCUACUGGACCUAGCGGCGGACGGGUGAGUAAUGCUUAGGAAUCUGCCUAUUAGUGGGGGACAACAUCUCGAAAGGGAUGCUAAUACCGCAUACGUCUUGCGAGAGCAAGCAGGGGAUCUUUGGACCUUGCGCUCAUAGAAGAGCCUCAGUCGGAUUAACUAGGUAGUGGGGUAAAGGCCUCCCAAGGCGGCGAUUUCUAACGUGUUUGAGAAGAAGAUCCACCCCCCUGGGACUGAAACCCGGCCCAGACUUCUUCGGGAGGCAGCAGUGGGGAAUAUUGGACAAUGGGCGCAAGCCUGAUCCAGCCAUGCCGCGUGUGUGAAGAAGGCCUUAUGGUUGUAAAACUCUUUAAACGAGGAGGAGGCUACUUUAGAUUAUUCCCAGAGAUAAUGGACGUUACUCGCAGAAUAAGCACCGGCUAACUCCGUGCCAGCAGCCGCGGUAAUACAGAGGGUGCAAGCGUUAAUCGGAUUUACUGGGCGUAAAGCGCGCGCAGGCGGUUAAUCAAGUCAAAUGUGAAAUCCCCGAGCUCAACUUGGGAAUUGCAUUCGAUACUGGCAAGCUAGAGUGUGGUAGAGGAGGGUAGAAUUCCAGGUGUAGCGGUGAAAUGCGUAGAGAUCUGGAGGAAUACCGAUGGCGAAGGCAGCCCCCUGGCCAAAGACUGACGCUGAGGUGCGAAAGCAUGGGGAGCAAACAGGAUUAGAUACCCUGGUAGUCCACGCCGUAAACGAUGUCUACUAGCCGUUGGGGCCUUUGAGGCUUUAGUGGCGCAGCUAACGCGAUAAGUAGACCGCCUGGGGAGU
rnacentral:rRNA from 1 species